GAUGAAGAACGCAGCGAAAUGCGAUAUGUAAUGUGAAUUGCAGAAUUCAGUGAAUCAUCGAAUCUUUGAACGCACAUUGCGCCCGCUAGUAUUCUGGCGGGCAUGCCUGUCCGAGCGUCAUUUCAACCCUCAAGCCCCCGGGCUUGGUGUUGGGGAUCGGCGAGCCUCCGCGCCCGCCGUCCCCUAAAUCUAGUGGCGGUCUCGCUGUAGCUUCCUCUGCGUAGUAGCACACCUCGCACUGGGAAACAGCGCGGCCACGCCGUUAAACCCCCAACUUCUGAACGUUUGACCUCGGAUCAGGUAGGAAUACCCGCUGAACUUAAGCAUAUCAAUAAGCGGAGGA
rnacentral:misc_RNA from 1 species